rnacentral:rRNA from 1 species
AUAAUAGUAAGUCAAAUCUGCUCCAUGAAAAAUAAAUAGCCGCAGAAAUUUAACUGUGCUAAGGUAGCAUAAUCAUUUCCCUUUUAAUUAAAGGUUUGUAUGAAUGGUUUUACAUUUAAUUUAUUUUUUUAUUAAACUUUAUUUAAUUUAAAUUAAAAAUAAAAAUGUUUUUAUAAAAAAAAAAGACGAUAAGACCCUAAUGAACUUAACUUAUGUUAGGCUGGGGAAGCCAAUUAAAUAUAAUUUUAAUUUCAAAAACUAAAAUAAUUUCUAAUAUAAUUAAAUUUAAAAGUUACCAUAGGGAUAACAGCGUAAUAUAAUUUUAAAGCUCAUAUUAAA